AUGUUUGGUCUUACCAUGAGUUCCUUGCAAGCACUUCACGAGCAUUCUUUCAAAUGCCAUUGUGAAGUGUUUGGGGGAACUCUUGGUGAUGCCAAGCUUUAUUCAAUGCCAGUCAAGAACCAAAGGAGACGAUCAUCACAAAGCAUGUUUGGUCUUACCGUGGGUUCCUUUCAAGCACUUCACGAGCAUUCCUUCAAAUGCCAUUGUGAAGUGUUUGGGGGAACUCUUGGUGAUGCCAAGCUUUAUUCAAUGCCAGUCAAGAACCAAAGGAUACGAUCAUCACAAAGCAUCUUUGGUCUUACCGUGGGUUCCUUGCAAGCACUUCACGAGCAUUCCUUCAAAUGCCAUUGUGAAGUGUUUGGGGGAACUCUCAGUGUAAUCAAGCAUUUACCAGAUACUGGUCGUGAACCAGAAGAGUUGAGCUAA
rnacentral:rRNA from 1 species